rnacentral:rRNA from 1 species
GAUGAACGCUGGCGGCGUGCUUAACACAUGCAAGUCGAACGGACCUUCGGGUCAGUGGCGGACGGGUGAGUAACGCGUGAGAAUCUGCCCUCAGGAGGGGGAUAACGGCUGGAAACGGCCGCUAAUACCCCAUAUGCCGCGAGGUGAAAUGAAUUUCGCCUGAGGAUGAGCUCGCGUCUGAUUAGCUAGUUGGUGGGGUAAAGGCCUACCAAGGCGACGAUCAGUAGCUGGUCUGAGAGGAUGAUCAGCCACACUGGGACUGAGACACGGCCCAGACUCCUACGGGAGGCAGCAGUGGGGAAUUUUCCGCAAUGGGCGAAAGCCUGACGGAGCAACGCCGCGUGAGGGAUGAAGGCCUCUGGUCUGUAAACCUCUUUUCUCAAGGAAGAAGACCUGACGGUACUU